AUUGAACGCUGGCGGCAGGCCUAACACAUGCAAGUCGAACGGUAACAGGAAGCAGCUUGCUGCUUCGCUGACGAGUGGCGGACGGGUGAGUAAUGUCUGGGAAACUGCCUGAUGGAGGGGGAUAACUACUGGAAACGGUAGCUAAUACCGCAUAACGUCGCAAGACCAAAGAGGGGGACCUUAGGGCCUCUUGCCAUCGGAUGUGCCCAGAUGGGAUUAGCUAGUAGGUGAGGUAACGGCUCACCUAGGCGACGAUCCCUAGCUGGUCUGAGAGGAUGACCAGCCACACUGGAACUGAGACACGGUCCAGACUCCUACGGGAGGCAGCAGUGGGGAAUAUUGCACAAUGGGCGCAAGCCUGAUGCAGCCAUGCCGCGUGUAUGAAGAAGGCCUUCGGGUUGUAAAGUACUUUCAGCGGGGAGGAAGGGAGUAAAGUUAAUACCUUUGCUCAUUGACGUUACCCGCAGAAGAAGCACCGGCUAACUCCGUG
rnacentral:rRNA from 1 species